rnacentral:rRNA from 1 species
UACACGGUGGAUGCCCUGGCAGUCAGAGGCGAUGAAGGGCGUGCUAAUCUGCGAUAAGCGCCGGUAAGGUGAUAUGAACCGUUAUAACCGGCGAUACCCGAAUGGGGAAACCCAGUGUGACUCGUCACACUAUCAUUAACUGAAUCCAUAGGUUAAUGAGGCGAACCGGGGGAACUGAAACAUCUAAGUACCCCGAGGAAAAGAAAUCAACCGAGAUUCCCCCAGUAGCGGCGAGCGAACGGGGAGGAGCCCAGAGCCUGAAUCAGCAUGUGUGUUAGUGGAAGCGUCUGGAAAGGCGCGCGAUACAGGGUGACAGCCCCGUACACAAAAGCGCAUGUGCUGUGAGCUCGAUGAGUAGGGCGGGACACGUGGUAUCCUGUCUGAAUAUGGGGGGACCAUCCUCCAAGGCUAAAUACUCCUGACUGACCGAUAGUGAACCAGUACCGUGAGGGAAAGGCGAAAAGAACCCCGGCGAGGGGAGUGAAAAAGAACCUGAAACCGUGUACGUACAAGCAGUGGGAGCCCCACCACCAAAGCAUUUGCUGUACCGCGUUGACGGAGCGAAGCGACGUCAAACCGAUAAAACAGCAGUGUAAAGUGAGCCGCAGGGCGCUUUGCGCGACAGCGCAAAGGCAGGCGGUUUCGCGUAGCGAAAGCGAAUGCUUUGGGGUGG